rnacentral:rRNA from 1 species
UGCGAACGGGUGAGUAACGCGUAUGUAACCUGCCUUGUAGCGGGGGAUAACUAUUGGAAACGAUAGCUAAUACCGCAUAACAAUGGAUGACCCAUGUCAUUUAUUUGAAAGGGGCAAAUGCUCCACUACAAGAUGGACCUGCGUUGUAUUAGCUAGUAGGUGAGGUAACGGCUCACCUAGGCGACGAUACAUAGCCGACCUGAGAGGGUGAUCGGCCACACUGGGACUGAGACACGGCCCAGACUCCUACGGGAGGCAGCAGUAGGGAAUCUUCGGCAAUGGGGGCAACCCUGACCGAGCAACGCCGCGUGAGUGAAGAAGGUUUUCGGAUCGUAAAGCUCUGUUGUAAGUCAAGAACGAGUGUGAGAGUGGAAAGUUCACACUGUGACGGUAGCUUACCAGAAAGGGACGGCUAACUACGUGCCAGCAGCCGCGGUAAUACGUAGGUCCCGAGCGUUGUCCGGAUUUAUUGGGCGUAAAGCGAGCGCAGGCGGUUUGAUAAGUCUGAAGUUAAAGGCUGUGGCUCAACCAUAGUUCGCUUUGGAAACUGUCAAACUUGAGUGCAGAAGGGGAGAGUGGAAUUCCAUGUGUAGCGGUGAAAUGCGUAGAUAUAUGGAGGA